rfam:Brachypodium distachyon strain Bd21 chromosome 4, whole genome shotgun sequence.
CAUAUACUCCCUCCGUCCCAUAUUAAGUGACUCAAAUUUGUCUAAAAAUGGAUGUAUCUAUAGCCUAAAAUACAUCUAGAUACAUGUACCAUUCCGGCACUUAAUAUGGGAUGGAGGGAGUAUUAA